rnacentral:tRNA from 1 species
CGGGGAGUAGCUCAGCCAGGCAGAGCACUACGUUUGGGACGUAGGGGCCGGAGGUUCGAAUCCUCUCUCCCCGA